rnacentral:rRNA from 1 species
AGCGAACGCUGGCGGCAGGCCUAAUACAUGCAAGUCGAGCGGCCCUUCGGGGCAGCGGCGGACGGGUGAGUAACGCGUGGGAACGUGCCCUUUGGUACGGAACAACUGAGGGAAACUUCAGCUAAUACCCGUAUGUGCCCUUCGGGGGAAAGAUUUAUCGCCAUUGGAGCGGCCCGCGUUGGAUUAGGUAGUUGGUGGGGUAAAGGCCCACCAAGCCGACGAUCCAUAGCUGGUCUGAGAGGAUGAUCAGCCACACUGGGACUGAGACAC